rnacentral:rRNA from 1 species
UACGUAGGGUGCAAGCGUUGUCCGGAAUUAUUGGGCGUAAAGAGCUCGUAGGCGGUCUGUCGCGUCGUUCGUGAAAACCUGCAGCUCAACUGCAGGCUUGCGGUCGAUACGGGCAGGCUAGAGUUCGGUAGGGGAGACUGGAAUUCCUGGUGUAGCGGUGAAAUGCGCAGAUAUCAGGAGGAACACCGGUGGCGAAGGCGGGUCUCUGGGCCGAUACUGACGCUGAGGAGCGAAAGCGUGGGGAGCGAACAGG